rnacentral:rRNA from 1 species
CCUACGGGAGGCAGCAGUGGGGAAUUUUGGACAAUGGGCGCAAGCCUGAUCCAGCCAUGCCGCGUGUGGGAAGAAGGCCUUCGGGUUGUAAACCACUUUUGUCAGGGAAGAAACGGCUCUUACUAAUAUUAGGGGCUAAUGACGGUACCUGAAGAAUAAGCACCGGCUAACUACGUGCCAGCAGCCGCGGUAAUACGUAGGGUGCAAGCGUUAAUCGGAAUUACUGGGCGUAAAGCGUGCGCAGGCGGCUUUGCAAGACAGAUGUGAAAUCCCCGGGCUCAACCUGGGAACUGCAUUUGUGACUGCAUGGCUAGAGUACGGUAGAGGGGGAUGGAAUUCCGCGUGUAGCAGUGAAAUGCGUAGAUAUGCGGAGGAACACCGAUGGCGAAGGCAAUCCCCUGGACCUGUACUGACGCUCAUGCACGAAAGCGUGGGGAGCAAACAGGAUUAGAUACCCUGGUAGUCCACGCCCUAAACGAUGUCAACUGGUUGUUGGACGGCUUGCUGUUCAGUAACGAAGCUAACGCGUGGAGUUGACCGCCUGGGGAGUACGGCCGCAAGGUUGAAACUUAAAGGAAUUGACGG